rnacentral:tRNA from 1 species
UGUUCUAUGGCCGAACUGGUAAAGGCAUUGCCGAUCACAGUCAAGGUUGCGGGUUCGAAUCCCGCUGGAACGG